rnacentral:rRNA from 1 species
UACGAAGGGGGCUAGCGUUGCUCGGAAUUACUGGGCGUAAAGGGCGCGUAGGCGGCACUGUUAGUCAGGCGUGAAAGUCCUGGGCUCAACCUGGGAACUGCGCUUGAUACGGCAGAGCUAGAGGAUGGAAGAGGCUCGCGGAAUUCCCAGUGUAGAGGUGAAAUUCGUAGAUAUUCGGAAGAACACCAGUGGCGAAGGCGACUUACUGGUCCAUGACUGACGCUGAGGCUCGAAAGCGUGGGGAGCAAACAGG